CUGCGAUAAGCGCCGGUAAGGUGAUAUGAACCGUUAUAACCGGCGAUUUCCGAAUGGGGAAACCCAGUGUGACUCGUCACACUAUCAUUAACUGAAUCCAUAGGUUAAUGAGGCGAACCGGGGGAACUGAAACAUCUAAGUACCCCGAGGAAAAGAAAUCAACCGAGAUUCCCCCAGUAGCGGCGAGCGAACGGGGAGGAGCCCAGAGCCUGAAUCAGCAUGUGUGUUAGUGGAAGCGUCUGGAAAGGCGCGCGAUACAGGGUGACAGCCCCGUACACAAAAGCGCAUGUGCUGUGAGCUCGAUGAGUAGGGCGGGACACGUGGUAUCCUGUCUGAAUAUGGGGGGACCAUCCUCCAAGGCUAAAUACUCCUGACUGACCGAUAGUGAACCAGUACCGUGAGGGAAAGGCGAAAAGAACCCCGGCGAGGGGAGUGAAAAAGAACCUGA
rnacentral:rRNA from 1 species